UGUGAGCUCGAUGAGUAGGGCGGGACACGUGGUAUCCUGUCUGAAUAUGGGGGGACCAUCCUCCAAGGCUAAAUACUCCUGACUGACCGAUAGUGAACCAGUACCGUGAGGGAAAGGCGAAAAGAACCCCGGCGAGGGGAGUGAAAAAGAACCUGAAACCGUGUACGUACAAGCAGUGGGAGCCUCUUUAUGGGGUGACUGCGUACCUUUUGUAUAAUGGGUCAGCGACUUAUAUUCUGUAGCAAGGUUAACCGAAUAGGGGAGCCGAAGGGAAACCGAGUCUUAACUGGGCGUUAAGUUGCAGGGUAUAGACCCGAAACCCGGUGAUCUAGCCAUGGGCAGGUUGAAGGUUGGGUAACACUAACUGGAGGACCGAACCGACUAAUGUUGAAAAAUUAGCGGAUGACUUGUGGCUGGGGGUGAAAGGCCAAUCAAACCGGGAGAUAGCUGGUUCUCCCCGAAAGCUAUUUAGGUAGCGCCUCGUGAAUUCAUCUCCGGGGGUAGAGCACUGUUUCGGCAAGGGGGUCAUCCCGACUUACCAACCCGAUGCAAACUGCGAAUACCGGAGAAUGUUAUCACGGGAGACACACGGCGGGUGCUAACGUCCGUCGUGAAGAGGGAAACAACCCAGACCGCCAGCUAAGGUCCCAAAGUCAUGGUUAAGUGGGAAACGAUGUGGGAAGGCCCAGACAGCCAGGAUGUUGGCUUAGAAGCAGCCAUCAUUUAAAGAAAGCGUAAUAGCUCACUGGUCGAGUCGGCCUGCGCGGAAGAUGUAACGGGGCUAAACCAUGCACCGAAGCUGCGGCAGCGACACUGUGUGUUGUUGGGUAGGGGAGCGUUCUGUAAGCCUGUGAAGGUGUACUGUGAGGUAUGCUGGAGGUAUCAGAAGUGCGAAUGCUGACAUAAGUAACGAUAAAGCGGGUGAAAAGCCCGCUCGCCGGAAGACCAAGGGUUCCUGUCCAACGUUAAUCGGGGCAGGGUGAGUCGACCCCUAAGGCGAGGCCGAAAGGCGUAGUCGAUGGGAAACAGGUUAAUAUUCCUGUACUUGGUGUUACUGCGAAGGGGGGACGGAGAAGGCUAUGUUGGCCGGGCGACGGUUGUCCCGGUUUAAGCGUGUAGGCUGGUUUUCCAGGCAAAUCCGGAAAAUCAAGGCUGAGGCGUGAUGACGAGGCACUACGGUGCUGAAGCAACAAAUGCCCUGCUUCCAGGAAAAGCCUCUAAGCAUCAGGUAACAUCAAAUCGUACCCCAAACCGACACAGGUGGUCAGGUAGAGAAUACCAAGGCGCUUGAGAGAACUCGGGUGAAGGAACUAGGCAAAAUGGUGCCGUAACUUCGGGAGAAGGCACGCUGAUAUGUAGGUGAAGCGACUUGCUCGUGGAGCUGAAAUCAGUCGAAGAUACCAGCUGGCUGCAACUGUUUAUUAAAAACACAGCACUGUGCAAACACGAAAGUGGACGUAUACGGUGUGACGCCUGCCCGGUGCCGGAAGGUUAAUUGAUGGGGUCAGCGCAAGCGAAGCUCUUGAUCGAAGCCCCGGUAAACGGCGGCCGUAACUAUAACGGUCCUAAGGUAGCGAAAUUCCUUGUCGGGUAAGUUCCGACCUGCACGAAUGGCGUAAUGAUGGCCAGGCUGUCUCCACCCGAGACUCAGUGAAAUUGAACUCGCUGUGAAGAUGCAGUGUACCCGCGGCAAGACGGAAAGACCCCGUGAACCUUUACUAUAGCUUGACACUGAACAUUGAGCCUUGAUGUGUAGGAUAGGUGGGAGGCUUAGAAGUGUGGACGCCAGUCUGCAUGGAGCCGACCUUGAAAUACCACCCUUUAAUGUUUGAUGUUCUAACGUUGACCCGUGAUCCGGGUUGCGGACAGUGUCUGGUGGGUAGUUUGACUGGGGCGGUCUCCUCCUAAAGAGUAACGGAGGAGCACGAAGGUUGGCUAAUCCUGGUCGGACAUCAGGAGGUUAGUGCAAUGGCAUAAGCCAGCUUGACUGCGAGCGUGACGGCGCGAGCAGGUGCGAAAGCAGGUCAUAGUGAUCCGGUGGUUCUGAAUGGAAGGGCCAUCGCUCAACGGAUAAAAGGUACUCCGGGGAUAACAGGCUGAUACCGCCCAAGAGUUCAUAUCGACGGCGGUGUUUGGCACCUCGAUGUCGGCUCAUCACAUCCUGGGGCUGAAGUAGGUCCCAAGGGUAUGGCUGUUCGCCAUUUAAAGUGGUACGCGAGCUGGGUUUAGAACGUCGUGAGACAGUUCGGUCCCUAUCUGCCGUGGGCGCUGGAGAACUGAGGGGGGCUGCUCCUAGUACGAGAGGACCGGAGUGGACGCAUCACUGGUGUUCGGGUUGUCAUGCCAAUGGCACUGCCCGGUAGCUAAAUGCGGAAGAGAUAAGUGCUGAAAGCAUCUAAGCACGAAACUUGCCCCGAGAUGAGUUCUCCCUGACCCUUUAAGGGUCCUGAAGGAACGUUGAAGACGACGACGUUGAUAGGCCGGGUGUGUAAGCGCAGCGAUGCGUUGAGCUAACCGGUACUAAUGAACCGUGAGGCUUAACCUU
rnacentral:rRNA from 1 species